UUGUCACCCUUUGAUGACUUGAAGACAGUGAGUGCCUUUUGGUAAGAAAAGAUGGCCUCAUCAAAGCGGCACAGAGACAUGUAAAUGUUUCCAAUGCUGACAUCAAUAGCAGCAACUUCAUUCUCUUGUCCAUUUGCAAUCAUAGCCAUACUGGCAAGAACAAGAUGCUCGAGAGCUGAUUCAUAAUCUCCCUUUGCCUCACAUAUGAGGGCCAUCAGUCGACGGUCAGCUGCCUCUUCAAUAGAUGCUGGCUCACUAUGAGCACGAUGAAUUUCAAGAGUUUUCUUGCACAAUUCUUCUGCUUUAUCAAAGUUCAUGGCUUGAACAUUGGCCUCAGCUAAAUACCUGCAAGUCUCCCCAACUCUGGGAUCGGUAUCUCCCAAAGCCUCGAUCUGAAUCUUAAGCCCCUCCUCAUAAGAAGCAAUCGACUUAUCUACCUGUCCAAGCAUCGAGUACGUAUCCCCCAACUGCAUAUACCCAGAAAACGCAGCAAGCGCGUGAUCCAUCCCUUUAGACAAAUCCGGCACCGUAAUGGCCCUGUCGAGAGCGGGCACGGCCUCGUCGAACCUCCCUAGACUGCAAUAAAUAGCAGCCAACACGUGCAGGCUCAUAACGAGGUCCAAACUCGGUUCCCCAUCGACGGCACAUCGCUCAAACGACUUAGACGCACGAAUUGCGUAAUCUAGAGCCUUACCAGGACCCUCCCCGGACGCAAUGGUAUCACGGGCGACCUUGAGAAGGAAAGGACCGAGAUCCGGGUUGUCAAGGGAGGCGUCAGAGAGGAGGAGCGGGUUGGGGGAGUCGGGCGGGGGCUUCUUAGCGGAGCGGGUCGGGGAAGGUUUAGAUCGAGAAGGGGAUGAAGA
rnacentral:misc_RNA from 1 species